UGGGAGAUCGUCUAAUGGUAGGACAACGGACUCUGACUCCGUUUAUCUAGGUUCGAAUCCUAGUCUCCCAGCCA
rnacentral:tRNA from 6 species